GGAGAACUAUAACUGGAGGACAGAAGGGCAUGAUCUAAUGGUAAUAAACUGGGAAAAUUUUAGCAAGGUCUAUUUUGUUCAAAUCCUUCUUAGUGUGUCUGUUUCUUCCAGGAUAAAGAUAUUCCCUUCCUCAGGGUACAGGGAGGGUACCUCUUAUGAACUACUUUACAGGAAGGUCAGAGAAUUCAUUUACGGCCUGCUUCAGGAGAGAAAGGCAAGAGGAAGGUCAGAGAGACUUUCCUACUACUGCUGUUUUCUUCAAUACUAAAGUACCAUAUUUUGGGAUUGCGUGUCCUGAACUCCUUCAACUAAUUGGUACAAGAACGAGGAAGCCUCCGUGAAAGCCAAGCUGGAAAAGAGAGCAUGGUAUAUUCUAAACCAGUGGCUGUACCUUCAUUAGCAUAACAUAAUAAAUAAGUUAUGUGCCUUGGAAUGAAGAAUGUGCUUGGAGAGGGUGAGAAAGGAAUAUCCCUUCCAUGGCUGACUUGUAAGGAAGUGAAAGAAUGCAACCAAACCAUUGUUAAAGUGGAUGUUGAUGGGAUUCUUGCAUUGAGGAGACUGGACCAGAUGAUCCCUAAGGUCCCUCCCAAUGAAUUUCUUAUGAAUUUCCAUAUGUCAUUCACACUACAUCCCACUGCCAGGUAUGCAAAAUGUGUGGAUCUACUAACGUUGCCUCAAUUUUAAAAGCUCACAAAAACCAAACUCUAGCAUUUUUUCUUCCCAUUUUAAGAAUGUACCUUUCUUCUUCUGGGUGGUUCAUCAUGCCAGCCUCUAUGUUCCCAGGGCACCUUGUACUUGUCUCUCUCUCUCUUUCUCUCAGCCCUUAUCACACUGAAUGGUAAAGAGUCAUUCUUAAUCUGCCUUCUACCACCAAACUAGGAGCUCCCUAAAAGGCAG
rnacentral:lncRNA from 1 species